CGUCCUGUAGCUCAGUGGUUAGAGCGCUCGCCUCGAAAGUGAGAGGACCUGGAUUCAAUUCCCAGGCGGGCGA